UACGGGGGGGGCAAGCGUUGUUCGGAAUUACUGGGCGUAAAGGGCUCGUAGGUGGCCAACUAAGUCAUACGUGAAAUCCCUCGGCUUAACCGGGGAACUGCGUGUGAUACUGGAUGGCUUGAGUUCGGGAGAGGGAUGCGGAAUUCCAGGUGUAGCGGUGAAAUGCGUAGAUAUCUGGAGGAACACCGGUGGCGAAGGCGGCAUCCUGGACCGACACUGACACUUAGGAGCGAAAGCCAGGGGAGCAAACGGG
rnacentral:rRNA from 1 species